rnacentral:tRNA from 1 species
ACCUCUCUGGCUCAGUCAGUAGAGCACGUGACUCCUGAUCUCAGGGUUGUGGGUUCAAGCCCCAUGUUGGCUA